rnacentral:rRNA from 1 species
ACGUAGGUGACGAGCGUUGUUCGGAAUUAUUGGGCGUAAAGGGUUCGUAGGAUGUUUAUUAAGAUUGGUGUGAAAUACCAAGGCUCAACCUUGGAACUGCAUUGAUUACUGAUGAACUAGAGUAUCGUAGAGGAAAGCGGAAUUCCAGGUGUAGCGGUGGAAUGCGUAGAAAUCUGGAAGAACCCCGACAGCGAAGGCAGCUUUCUGGGCGAUAACUGACUCUGAGCCGCGAAAGCGUGUGGAGCAAAAAG